rnacentral:lncRNA from 7 species
UGUAUAGGAAGGAAUUCUGGGGUGAUUAUUGCUGCUUCUACUUUCUGAAGUGAGAUAGAUUGUAAAGCAGGUGCAUCAAAGGCGGACGUCUCUAGAGUGCCAAAGAAGAAUGUAAAGCUGACUCUUUGGAAAACAGCCUGGGAUGAGAGCUGAGAGAUCAGGGCUGAAGCGGCUGUUCCAUGAAACACGUAAGGGAGUGUUUCUGUCCCUGAGUGUUCCUGCUUCUGAUCCAUGUCUAUCUCCAAGUUUGCUGCCUCUGCUGUAGGACUGAAGAAGCUAUGACCUAAGAAUUUUCUUUCCUCCUUGUCUCCUCAACACUAUCAGUUAAAAUAAUAAAAACUAUUACUCGCUCCCACAACCUCAUUUCUGCCUACAAGGAUACAUAUAAGCUGUAUUCUAACAAAACCUCACUGACUCUGAACAAUCUGUAAGUAGCAAGAAGAUAUAGACAUCCACCUGCUAAAAAUAAUAUAAGCUUCUGCAAAUUACUUAGCUGAACUUCCAAGGAAAGAGUAGGCGAGUGAGGGAAUUGAAAAUGAACGUACAAACCUACAGACUGGCAAUCUGCAAGUGAGAUAGGCUCCAUCACCUCUGUGAUUAUAGGUUGUAUCUAGUGCUGUCAUUUGGCUGACAGAGUGCUGCUUUGAAAACAUUCAUUGUCUACUUGUAGUUUGGGGCUGCUGUUACGUGAUGCUCUGUGGCAGUUUCUGCAGUGGAACUGAAGAUUAAUGAGGUGGUGGUGGAGUCUGAGAUUGUGUUGAUUCUACAGCCUGGGGAAGCCUUCUUUCUGUCUGUGCUAUUUCUCUUGUUCCAUUAAGCAAGUGGUUCUAGCAUCCAGCCUAGUCUGCUUGGCAGCUUACAGGGGCACAAAGUUAAAAGUGCUCCAAAACUUGAGAAAACACAGGCUCUUUCUGUUGUGAAAUCUCUUGUUUGGAAGUAAUGGUACUUUGGAUUUGUCUGGCUUGCUUCUACAAAAGAUAGAAGCUUAUAAUUCAUCUAGAGAGUGGAAAUGUCACCUGAAUGUUGCUGAG